AUAGCGUAUAUUAAAGUUGUUGCAGUUAAAAAGCUCGUAGUUGAAUUUCGGGGUUGGUAGGUUGGUCAUGCCUCUGGUAUGUACUGUCCUCACUGAUUCCUCCUUCCUGAUGAGCCGUAAUGCCAUUAAUUUGGUGUUGCGGGGAACUUGGACUGUUACUUUGAAAAAAUUAGAGUGUUUAAAGCAGGCA
rnacentral:rRNA from 1 species